UACAGAGGUCUCAAGCGUUGUUCGGAUUCAUUGGGCGUAAAGGGUGCGUAGGCGGCGCGGUAAGUCGGGUGUGAAAUCUCGGAGCUUAACUCCGAAACUGCAUUCGAUACUGCCGUGCUUGAGGACUGGAGAGGAGACUGGAAUUUACGGUGUAGCGGUGAAAAUGCGUAGAUAUCGUAAGGAAGACCAGUGGCGAAAGGCGGGGUCUCUGGACA
rnacentral:rRNA from 1 species